rnacentral:rRNA from 1 species
GGUAGUCCACGCCGUAAACGAUGUCGACUUGGAGGUUGUGCCCUUGAGGCGUGGCUUCCGGAGCUAACGCGUUAAGUCGACCGCCUGGGGAGUACGGCCGCAAGGUUAAAACUCAAAUGAAUUGACGGGGGCCCGCACAAGCGGUGGAGCAUGUGGUUUAAUUCGAUGCAACGCGAAGAACCUUACCUACUCUUGACAUCCAGAGAACUUAGCAGAGAUGCUUUGGUGCCUUCGGGAACUCUGAGACAGGUGCUGCAUGGCUGUCGUCAGCUCGUGUUGUGAGAUGUUGGGUUAAGUCCCGCAACGAGCGCAACCCUUAUCCUUUGUUGCCAGCGGUUAGGCCGGGAACUCAAAGGAGACUGCCAGUGAUAAACUGGAGGAAGGUGGGGAUGACGUCAAGUCAUCAUGGCCCUUACAAGUAGGGCUACACACGUGCUACAAUGGCGCAUACAAAGAGAAGCGACCUCGCGAGAGCAAGCGGACCUCAUAAAGUGCGUCGUAGUCCGGAUUGGAGUCUGCAACUCGACUCCAUGAAGUCGGAAUCGCUAGUAAUCGUAGAUCAGAAUGCUACGGUGAAUACGUUCCCGGGCCUUGUACACACCGCCCGUCACACCAUGGGAGUGGGUUGCAAAAGAAGUAGGUAGCUUAACCUUCGGGAGGGCGCUUACCACUUUGUGAUUCAUGACUGGGGUGAAGUCGUAACAAGGCAACCGUAGGGGAACCUGC